AUACCCGCUGAACUUAAGCAUAUCAAUAAGCGGAGGAAAAGAAACCAACAGGGAUUGCCUUAGUAACGGCGAGUGAAGCGGCAAUAGCUCAAAUUUGAAAUCUGUCUCUUUUAGAGUCCGAGUUGUAAUUUGUAGAGGAUGUUUCGGCUUACGCCCCGGUUUAAGUUCCUUGGAACAGGACGUCAUAGAGGGUGAGAAUCCCGUUUAUGGCCGGCGGCUUCCGCUAUGUGAAACUCCUUCGACGAGUCGAGUUGUUUGGGAAUGCAGCUCUAAAUGGGAGGUAAAUUUCUUCUAAAGCUAAAUAUUGGCCAGAGACCGAUAGCGCACAAGUAGAGUGAUCGAAAGAUGAAAAGCACUUUGGAAAGAGAGUUAAAAAGUACGUGAAAUUGUUGAAAGGGAAGCGCUUGCGACUAGACUUGUCUUCAGUUGCUCCGCCGGUCCUUCGACCGGUGUAUUCUUCUGUUGUCAGGCCAGCAUUAGUUCGGGCGGUUGGAUAAAGGCUUUGGGAAUGUGACUCUCUUCGGGGAGUGUUAUAGCCCAUUGUGCAAUACAGCCUGCCUGGACUAAGGACCGCGCUUCGGCUAGGAUGCUGGCGUAAUGGUCGUAAGCGGCCCGUCUUG
rnacentral:rRNA from 1 species